rnacentral:rRNA from 1 species
GACGAACGCUGGCGGCGUGCUUAACACAUGCAAGUCGAGCGGUAAGGCCCUUUCGGGGGUACACGAGCGGCGAACGGGUGAGUAACACGUGGGUGACCUGCCCUUAGCUCUGGGAUAAGCCUGGGAAACUGGGCCUAAUACCGGAUAUGACUCCAUGACGCAUGUUGUGGGGUGGAAAGCCUUGUGCGGCUAGGGAUGGGCCCGCGGCCUAUCAGCUUGUUGGUGGGGUGAUGGCCUACCAAGGCGACGACGGGUAGCCGGCCUGAGAGGGCGACCGGCCACACUGGGACUGAGACACGGCCCAGACUCCUACGGGAGGCAGCAGUGGGGAAUCUUGCGCAAUGGGCGAAAGCCUGACGCAGCGACGCCGCGUGAGGGAUGACGGCCUU